UACGUAGGGCGCAAGCGUUGUCCGGAAUUAUUGGGCGUAAAGAGCUCGUAGGCGGCCUGUUGCGUCCGCUGUGAAAUCCCGGGGCUCAACCCCGGGCCUGCAGUGGAUACGGGCUGGCUGGAGGCAGGCAGGGGAGAACGGAAUUCCUGGUGUAGCGGUGAAAUGCGCAGAUAUCAGGAGGAACACCGGUGGCGAAGGCGGUUCUCUGGGCCUGUUCUGACGCUGAGGAGCGAAAGCGUGGGGAUCAAACAGG
rnacentral:rRNA from 1 species